rnacentral:rRNA from 1 species
UACGAAGGGGGCUAGCGUUGUUCGGAAUUACUGGGCGUAAAGCGCGCGUAGGCGGUUUUGCAAGCCAGAGGUGAAAUGCCUGAGCUUAACUUAGGAAUUGCCUUUGGGACUGCGAGGCUUUGAGGACGAGAGAGGUGAGUGGAAUUCCCAGUGUAGAGGUGAAAUUCGUAAGAUAUUGGGGAAGAACACCGGUGGCGAAGGCGGCUCACUGGCUCGUUUCUGACGCUGUAGCGCGAAAGCGUGGGGGAUCAAACAGG